AUUGAACGCUGGCGGCAGGCCUAACACAUGCAAGUCGAGCGAGCGGCGGACGGGUGAGUAAUGUAUGGGGAACUGCCUGAUAGAGGGGGAUAACUACUGGAAACGGUGGCUAAUACCGCAUACUAUCGGAUGCACCCAUAUGGGAUUGGCUAGUAGGUGGGGUAAAGGCUCACCUAGGUGACGAUCCCUAGCUGGUCUGAGAGGAUGCUCAGCAACACUGGAAUGGAGACACGGCCCAGACUCCUACGGUAGGCAGCAGUGGGGAAUAUUGCACAAUGGGCGCAAGCCUGAUGCAGCCAUGCCGCGUGUAUGAAGAAGGCCUUAGGGUUGUAAAGUACUUUCAGCUGGGAGGCGUUACCCGCAGAAGAAGCACCGGCUAACUCCGUGCCAGCAGCCGCGGUAAUUC
rnacentral:rRNA from 1 species